GUGCUUGUUUCAGCAGCACAUAGUCUAAAAUUGGAAUGAUACAGAAAAGAUUAGCAUGGCCCCUGUGCAAGGAUGACAAUCCAACUCAUGUAGAAUUUCAUAGUUAA